GCGAGCACGCGCGUGUGGCAUAUCAAUAAGCGGAGGAAAAGAAACUAACAAGGAUUCCCUUAGUAACGGCGAGUGAAGCGGGAAGAGCUCAAAUUUGAAAUCUUCAAGGUUUCCCUUGACGAAUUGUAGUUUAUAGAAGUGUUUUCUGUUAGAGGAGUGGUAAAAGUUCUUUGGAAUAGGACAUCAUAGAGGGUGAGAAUCCCGUAUUUGGUCAUUCCUCCUAGCGUUGUGAUACACUUUCAACGAGUCGGAUUGUUUGGGAAUGCAGUCCAAAAUGGGUGGUAAAUUUCAUCUAAAGCUAAAUAUUGGCGAGAGACCGAUAGCGAACAAGUACCGUGAGGGAAAGAUGAAAAGAACUUUGAAAAGAGAGUUAAACAGUACGUGAAAUUGUCAAAAGGGAAGCGUUUGACACCAGUGUUGUUUUUCCGAAAAUCAAUUACGAAUGUUUUGUUUUUGAGGAGUUAUGACUUCAUCGGCUUGCUCCUUUCUUUACGAAACUUUCUUAAUGCACUUUUCGGUUAACAAGUCAACAUCAAUUUCUUUUGUUGUAAAAGGGUAUGAGGAAGGUGGUUUCUUUUCGGAGAAAGUGUUUAUAGCCUUGUGCCUCUAGCAAUCGGAGAGAUUGAGGUCUGCAGCGUAGAUCCUUCGGGGUUAGAUACGUUUGUGCUAAGUUAUAGCUUUUCAUAGACAACUUGUUGACUAUGUUUAGUCUUGUAGCUUACUCGCUAGACGCUAUUUUACCUACGCUUAGGAUGUUGAACUCUAUCACACACAG
rnacentral:rRNA from 1 species